UACGUAGGGUGCGAGCGUUGCCCGGAUUUAUUGGGCGUAAAGGGCGCGUAGGCGGCCAGAUAAGUCCGCUGUGAAAUCUCGAGGCUCAACUUCGAGCUGUCGGUGGAAACUAUCUGGCUAGAGUCCGGAAGAGGAGAAUGGAAUUCCUGGUGUAGCGGUGAAAUGCGCAGAUAUCAGGAAGAACACCCGUGGCGAAGGCGGUUCUCUGGGACGGUACUGACGCUGAGACGCGAAAGCGUGGGGAGCGAACAGG
rnacentral:rRNA from 1 species